AAAGGAAUAGACGGGGGCCCGCACAAGCGGAGGAACAUGUGGUUUAAUUCGAUGAUACGCGAGGAACCUUACCCGGGCUUGAAAGUUAGCGACGGACCUUGAAAGGGGUCUUCUCUUCGGAGCGCGAAACUAGGUGCUGCAUGGUUGUCGUCAGCUCGUGCCGUGAGGUGUCGGGUUAAGUCCCAUAACGAGCGCAACCCUUAUCGUCAGUUACCAUCGAGUAAAGUCGGGGACUCUGGCGAGACUGCCGGUGUAAGCCGAGAGGAAGGUGGGGAUGACGUCAAAUCAGCACGGCCCUUACGUCCGGGGCGACACACGUGUUACAAUGGUCGGUACAGAGGGUCGCUACCCCGCGAGGGGGUGCCAAUCUCGAAAGCCGAUCUCAGUUCGGAUUGGAGGCUGAAACUCGCCUCCAUGAAGUUGGAUUCGCUAGUAAUCGCGCAUCAGCCAUGGCGCGGUGAAUACGUUCCCGGGCCUUGUACACACCGCCCGU
rnacentral:rRNA from 1 species